UUCCAGAGCUAUACAAUAUUACAAACAGCAAGACUAAUUAUCUCACAUCUUGGAAAAUAUUUUGUGAUGUACUUCUUGUUGACUAAAUUUCUGUUAAUGUUAUGUUUUUGAGCUUUGAAGAAUAGUCCUUGAAGGAGACAGCUCCUCUGUCCCAGAAUGCACCGCGCAGUUCAGUGGAGUUUCCCAUCUCCUCAAAAUUAUCUCUGACGAUGGGAGAGUUUUUUAAAAAAUGGCGUCGAACGGUGGAGACCGUUGUGCUUGCAAAAAAAUCCACGGGACUCGUACAACGACCGACGGACAACACCCGGGACAUUAGCGUUUACUGAUGAUUUGUGGCGGCUUGGAUGUCUUUCACUUCUAGACAAGAUCUUCUCUGACAGUGCAACAUCUGAACGUGUACAUCAUUUACAUCAAGAUGCAAACUAAAUGAGUGCCAGACUGCCAGGUGUGGGGGAACUGUCCUGUGGACCACAGGCCUCCCAUGCCAGACGUGGGGGAACUGUCCUGUGGACCACAGGCCUCCCAUGCCAGACUGCCAGGUGUGGGGGAACUGUCCUGUGGACCACAGGCCUCCCAUGCCAGACUGCCAGGUGUGGGGGCACUGUCCUGCGGACAACAGGUCUCCCAUGCCAGACUGCCAGGUGUCGGGGAACUGUCCUGCGGACAACAGGUCUCCCAUGCCAGACUGCCAGGUGUCGGGGAACUGUCCGUGUGAGACAAGUCUGGAUUUAGGCCACCAUCACCCAACUGUCAAGCUCCACAGCUGUUGAAACCGGAGAUGGAUCAAAGUCUGUCAUCAUCAAUGGAUCAAGAUAUCAACCUCUGCCACUCUUCACUAAAGAAAGGACCGCUCCGGGGAUGUGUGGGUUACAGGAGAGACUGGCUACCACACAUACAGCCCCAGGCCGGGUCCGUCUCCUCUCUCCUCACCUAGCUGUCCGUCUCCUCUCUCCUCACCUAGCUGUCCGUCUCCUCUCUCCUCACCUAGCUGUCCGUCUCCUCUCUCCUCACCUAGCUGUCCGUCUCCUCUCUCCUCACCUAGCUGUCCGUCUCCUCUCUCCUCACCUAGCUGUCCGUCUCCUCUCUCCUCACCUAGCUGUCCGUCUCCUCUCUCCUCACCUAGCUGUCCGUCUCCUCUCUCCUCACCUAGCUGUCCGUCUCCUCUCUCCUCACCUAGCUGUCCGUCUCCUCUCCUUAUAGCCAAUAAUGAUGAUAACUGUAGAUCAGGGCCCGUAUCUACAAAGUGUCUCAAAGUAGGAGGGCUGAUCUAGCAUCAGUUUGACUUUUCAGUUUGAUCAUAAUGAAUCAAUGUAUAGACAGAUCCUAGAUCAGAUUGAAUCAGAUUGUAUAGACAGGUCCUAGAUCAGCAUUCUUACUCUCCACCACUCCUUGUAGUUGGAACCCAUUUCUUUCAUAACUUGGGGGUCAAACAGGAAUUGUGUAGUCUUACCGCCCAAUUUGACCUCUACUCUUCUGUUGUCUGAACUGAGGCAAUUCACCUUUUUUUUAUUUUUAUAAUCAAUUUAUCUAGGUAUAGAUCUAGAUGUACUGGGAUCAGUGGUUUGUUGUUUUUCCUGAAUGCCCUUAUCCCCAACCUUUUACAGAUGUAGUUCAACUUUCAGUAGACAUUGUAGCAAGGAUCUGGUGUAGACCCCUGUAAUCUCGCAGGCCAGACAUUACAGCCACGCAGUAAAGUUUGAUCUUUCAAGUAUUAUGCAAUAUU